rnacentral:lncRNA from 1 species
UAUUAUUAUGAUUAAGUAGUGAUUAUUAAUAAUGAAUACUUUUUCCUAUUGUGACUCCGACAAUCACCAUUCAUUCUUGGAAUAUUAUGAGCUGGAGGUUUUGCUAAGCAUGACAUGUAUUAUAAUUCAGUUUCCACAGCAACCUCAUGAAGUCUUGCUUGACAGGUUCAGGCUCUUUUUGUAGUUGAGGGAGACUAAAGGGGACAGAGAUUCAGCAAUAUGACAUGAAAAUCUUGCCGAGCACACAAGGCCAGCAAACUGUAUGGGUAAGAUUAAAACCACAGCUCUUUAAUCCUAUAAACUAUGUUUAUAAUCACUAUGCUUUGAUUAUACUAAAAAUAACUUACUUGGGAAAUCAUUUACCUUCAAAGAAGGAUUUUAUUCUGUUUAUGUUAAAAAUGAAAUAUUAAGUAAAAUAUGGAUGAAUGCAGAUAAGAAUAAAACAGUUAAAUAUUUACAUAAUAAGUGAACCUUCCAGGAAUGUUUACUUUCAAACAUUUCUGGUUAAAUGUAACACAUUUUCUUCAAAAAUUCUGUUCUUUUCUCAGGGGUCCUAUUCAGUUCACUUUAUGCCAUUUGUAAUUUACACUGAAUUAAAAUGUUUUCCCUCUUUUAGUUUGAGUGCUUGGACUAGAAACGUGUCUAUGACGUUCUUAUCAUCAGGCCCUCUUCACUGUCAUGGAAAUUUUAAGAGGUCUCCCUUCAGAGUUCCAGCCACAUAUUCCCCUUCUCAGCGGGAACCUGCCUAUGCUGUCUCACAGACACCAACGCUGAACUGGUGGUCUCUCCCACACAUUUACUCCUUUCCCAAAUAUUCACCAUUUUUCACCACAGUUUUGAUUACUACUUGUAUAUACAUGCAGACCUGCAUACAUGUGUUCUUAUGUGAGGAAAUAUAUAAAAAUGUUUAUAUAUGUGUGUGUUUACACAUAUAAGGCAGAAGCCUUAGCAUUUUAUUUUGUGCUGUAUCUCUAGUGCCUGCAGUAGUGGCUGAUGUAAAACAGAUACUCAAUAAAUAUUUGUCAAAUGGACAAAUUUCCUGCUGGAACAAUAAUUGGGGCCAGAGCAAUGCAGUGUAUUGGUUGCUUAUAUCUUGGUCACAUGUGGUACUUAAGCCAAGCUUGGUAGCAAAUGCCUACAAUCUUGGCACUGAGGGAGGCUAAGGCAGGAGGAUUUCAGCCUGGGCAACUUUGUGGCUUAGGGAGACUCUGUCUCAAAAUUUAAAAAAUUUAAGAAAAAAAGGCUGAGAAUGUAGCUCCAUGGUAGAGUUCCAUGCUCCCCACUGGGUUCCAUGCUCACUACUCCCCCAUCCCCCAUACUACUUAUAGGGUUGAGUGUGAAACUCUCAGUAAAAGACAUUAAGUGUGAAAUUAAAAAUAAAAAUUGGGGUUAUUGUCAGAAGCAAGGAAGGUAAGAAAAGCAAACAGCAUGAUACUGAUUACACUUAUUCAGUUCAAUUCAGUUAAGAAC